rnacentral:ncRNA from 1 species
UAAAGGUUUGGUCCUAGCCUUCCUAUUAGUCCUUAGUAAACUUACACAUGCAAGCCUCCACGCCCCAGUGAGAAUGCCCUUAAAAUCACUUACGAUCUAAAGGAGCAGGUAUCAAGCACACUAUUAAGUAGCUCAUAACACCUUGCUAAGCCACACCCCCACGGGAUACAGCAGUGAUAGAAAUUAAGCCAUGAACGAAAGUUCGACUAAGUUAUACUAAAGAGGGUUGGUAAAUUUCGUGCCAGCCACCGCGGUCAUACGAUUAACCCAAACUAAUAGGCCCACGGCGUAAAGCGUGUUUAAGACAACACAUCACUAAAGUUAAAACUUAACUAAGCCGUAAAAAGCUGCAGUUACAAUAAAAUAUACUACGAAAGUGACUUUAAAAUUUUCUGACUACACGAUAGCUAAGACCCAAACUGGGAUUAGAUACCCCACUAUGCUUAGCCCUAAACUUAAAUAGUUCUAUAACAAAACAAUUCGCCAGAGAACUACUAGCAACAGCUUAAAACUCAAAGGACUUGGCGGUGCUUUAUACCCCUCUAGAGGAGCCUGUUCUAUAAUCGAUAAACCCCGAUAAACCUCACCAUCUCUUGCUAAUACAGUCUAUAUACCGCCAUCUUCAGCAAACCCUUAAAAGGUAGAACAGUAAGCAAGAUCAUCACGCAUAAAAAAGUUAGGUCAAGGUGUAACUUAUGAGAUGGGAAGAAAUGGGCUACAUUUUCUAUCUUAAAGCCAAUUUACGAAAGAUUGUAUGAAACUAGAACAGGAAGGAGGAUAUAGUAGUAAAUCAAGAAUCAAGAGCCGAAGUGAAUACGGGCCACGAAGCACUUGCACACACCGCCCGUCACCCACCUCAGAUAAUAACACUGAGGUAACAAGCUCAGCAGCCUAAGGUGGAAUACGAUGGGAGAUAAGUCGUAACAAGGUAAGCAUACCGGAAGGUGCGGCUUGGAUUAAC